rnacentral:rRNA from 1 species
GACGAACGCUGGCGGCGUGCUUAACACAUGCAAGUCGAACGGAAAGGCCCUGCGUUUGUGGUGUGCUCGAUUGGCGAACGGGUGAGUAACACGUGAGUAACCUGCCCUUGACUUUGGGAUAACUUCAGGAAACUGGGGCUAAUACCGUAUAGGAGCUCCUGCUGCAUGGUGGGGGUUGGAAAGUUUCGGCGUUUGGGGAUGGACUCGCGGCUAAUGAGCUUGUUGGUGGGGUAGUGGCUUACCAAGGCUUUGACGGGUAGCCGGCCUGAGAGGGUGACCGGCCACCUUGGGACUGAGAGACGGACCAGAGUCGUACGGGAGGCAGCAGUGGGGAGUAUUGCACAAUGGGCGGACGCCUGAUGAAGCAACGCCGCGUGCGGGAUGACGGCCUUCGGGUUGUAAAACGCUUUCGCCUGUGACGAAGCGUGAGUGACGGUAAUGGGUAAAGAAGCACCGGCUAACUACGUG